rnacentral:rRNA from 1 species
GUCCACGCCCUAAACGAUGUCAACUAGGUGUCGGGAGCGCAAGUUCUUGGUACCGCAGCUAACGCGUGAAGUUGACCGCCUGGGGAGUACGGUCGCAAGAUUAAAACUCAAAGGAAUUGACGGGACCCGCACAAGCGGUGGAUGAUGUGGAUUAAUUCGAUGCAACGCGAACAACCUUACCUACCCUUGACAUGUCCGGAACCCUGCUGAAAGGUGGGGUGCCCGAAAGGGAAUCGGAACACAGGUGCUGCAUGGCUGUCGU